AAGUUAGAUACAGGUAAUGGAUAUAAAGAUUACAUUAUUUUCAUUGAUGCAUUCUUUUGAAAAUAUAUUCAGGAAAGUCAGAAUUCCAGUUCAGAUGAAGAGCAGGUGGAGGAAGCAGCAGCUGGACCGUCAGGGCUUCAGUUCAUUAAGGUGAGAUUAAUUUCUCUCUCUGAUGAGGUUAGAGGGGACAGCUGGGUGCGACGGCCCAGUGAUUUCCCCUUUUUGUGUAUUUCAGCUGGAUCUCCAACCUCUCUUUUGGUAAGUAGUUUUCAGUCUUUGAUAUCUAAAUUAAAUUUGGUUUAUCACUCAAGAAUCACUGAUACUGACACAAUUUUAUUUUUUCCAGCCUCACCAACGUCAUGCUGCACAGCGGCCUACAUCUUAACUUCAUCUGAUAGUCUGCACAGUAACAAACAAAUUAACACGGAAGCUACUGUGUUUGAUCAGAUCCACUUCAAAACCGAUGGAGUUCAUCCUGACACUAUGUUGGCAUCCCAGAAGUCCAAUUUUAAUAUAAAGUGUCAGAGCUUUGAUGUGCAGGUGAGUUUAAUAGAUGUAUGCUGCUAUUAAAUACACUUUUAUUUGACUCGAGACUUAAACUGUACUUUAAUUAACACAUCGAUGUACAACAACGGUGAGAUAAGAGCAAAGAACAUUCCUUAUUCACAAAGAUAGAAUCCCAAAUAUCAUGCUGCAGUGGACCAGACAGCGUGACGUCACACAUCAUGAUUGUGUUACAAUGGCUCACAACUCACUUCUUCCUUUCACUCAUUACAGGUGACUGGUUGUACUACAUGAGGUACACUGGCACAACUCGCUCAAUGGGGGUGAAGGUCCUCCGUGGGGCAAAAGAGGUCUUUGAGGAGGCUCACUUCAGCAGUGGACACCGCAGCCAGAGAACCACCAGAGAGACAAUCUCUCAGGUUUUACUGGCCUGGAAUGUCAAAUGCCACCUUCACCUCCUCCUCUGGGCCAUCCACAGGCUGUUGGCACUCGCCUGCCUCGUUAAACACCACAGUGGACUCUCCGAUCAUCAAGAAUUGGCUGCUGUGCCGACGAUGGUACCACAGGAUCCGUGCCAGAGACCGACAAAGGAGAAACAUUUUUCUGCCUUGCAUGCCAGGAGUGACAUUUAUCAUUAAAAUGUUUUAAUAUUAUUUUGUUCUGAG
rnacentral:lncRNA from 1 species